UACAGAGGUCUCAAGCGUUGUUCGGAUUCAUUGGGCGUAAAGGGUGCGUAGGCGGCGCGGUAAGUCGGGUGUGAAAUCUCGGAGCUUAACUCCGAAACUGCAUUCGAUACUGCCGUGCUUGAGGACUGGAGAGGAGACUGGAAUUUACGGUGUAGCGGUGGAAUGCGUAGAUAUCGGGAGGAACACCAGUGGCGAAGGCGGUUACCUGGAGCUUUGCUGACGCUGAUGCGCGAAAGCGUGGGGAGCGAUCCGG
rnacentral:rRNA from 1 species